rnacentral:snoRNA from 1 species
AGUCCCAUUUUAGUACCUUUCAUUCGCAUCAUCAUGAAUGAACGGCUAUGCUAAUGGGAUAGAACAAACACUGUCAUGGUCUGAAGGUGUGGCUAGCUGACUCGGUCACUCACCAAAUAAAAUGACAGAACACUGCAAC